rnacentral:rRNA from 1 species
UACAGAGGGUGCGAGCGUUAAUCGGAAUUACUGGGCGUAAAGCGUGCGUAGACGGUUGUUUAAGUCAGAUGUGAAAGCCCCGGGCUCAACCUGGGAAUUGCAUUUGAGACUGAAUAGCUAGGGUGCGGAAGAGGGAAGCGGAAUUUCCGGUGUAGCAGUGAAAUGCGUAGAUAUCGGAAGAACAUCAGUGGCGAAAGCGG